GUGCAAGCGUUAAUCGGAAUCACUGGGCGUAAAGCGCUCGUAGGUGGCUUUGUAAGUCAGGUGUGAAAGCCCACGGCUCGAACCGUGGAACUUGCACUUGAUACUGCAUUGCUUGAGUUCGGGAGAGGGUAGUGGAAUUCCAGGUGUAGGAGUGAAAUCCGUAGAGAUCUGGAGGAACACCAGUGGCGAAGGCGGCUACCUGGACCGAUACUGACACUGAGGAGCGAAAGCGUGGGGAGC
rnacentral:rRNA from 1 species